rnacentral:misc_RNA from 1 species
GUUUAAUUGGGGUUUGGGGGUGGCAUCUUCUUGGGAUUUGAAUUGGAUGCAUUGAUUUGAGAGGUUCUUUUUUUGCAUUGCUCUUUGGUGGCGAAGGAAGUAUUGGCUUUUCUGUUUGAUGUGUAUGGUCUGGAAGUUAAAAGAGCAAGGAUUGAAGUGAUUUUGUUGGAAUCCCUGGUGUUGUUACAUUGUGUUUUCAGCUAAUAACAGUUAUUGUUGCUGGAACAUUGUGAAA